rnacentral:rRNA from 1 species
CCUACGGGCGGCAGCAGUCGAGAAUCAUUCACAAUGGGGGAAACCCUGAUGGUGCGACGCCGCGUGGGGGAAUGAAGGUCUUCGGAUUGUAAACCCCUGUCAUGUGGGAGCAAAUUAAAAAGAUAGUACCACAAGAGGAAGAGACGGCUAACUCUGUGCCAGCAGCCGCGGUAAUACAGAGGUCUCAAGCGUUGUUCGGAAUCACUGGGCGUAAAGCGUGCGUAGGCUGUUUCGUAAGUCGUGUGUGAAAGGCGCGGGCUCAACCCGCGGACGGCACAUGAUACUGGGAGACUAGAGUAAGGGAGGGGGAACCGGAAUUCUCGGUGUAGCAGUGAAAUGCGUAGAUAUCGAGAGGAACACUCGUGGCGAAGGCGGGUUCCUGGACAUUAACUGACGCUGAGGCACGAAGGCCAGGGGAGCGAAAGGGAUUAGAUACCCGAGUAGUC